UGCAGUCGAGCGGGGGAGRUUGCUUCGGUAAYUGACCUAGCGGCGGACGGGUGAGUAAUACUUAGGAAUCUGCCUAUUAAUGGGGGACAACAUCUCGAAAGGGAUGCUAAUACCGCAUACGCCCUACGGGGGAAAGCAGGGGAUCACUUGUGACCUUGCGUUAAUAGAUGAGCCUAAGUCGGAUUAGCUAGUUGGUGGGGUAAAGGCCUACCAAGGCGACGAUCUGUAGCGGGUCUGAGAGGAUGAUCCGCCACACUGGGACUGAGACACGGCCCAGACUCCUACGGGAGGCAGCAGUGGGGAAUAUUGGACAAUGGGGGGAACCCUGAUCCAGCCAUGCCGCGUGUGUGAAGAAGGCCUUAUGGUUGUAAAGCACUUUAAGCGAGGAGGAGGCUCCUGUAGUUAAUACCUACAGUGAGUGGACGUUACUCGCAGAAUAAGCACCGGCUAACUCUGUGCCAGCAGCCGCGGUAAUACAGAGGGUGCGAGCGUUAAUCGGAUUUACUGGGCGUAAAGCGUGCGUAGGCGGCUUUUUAAGUCGGAUGUGAAAUCCCCGAGCUUAACUUGGGAAUUGCAUUCGAUACUGGGAAGCUAGAGUAUGGGAGAGGAUGGUAGAAUUCCAGGUGUAGCGGUGAAAUGCGUAGAGAUCUGGAGGAAUACCGAUGGCGAAGGCAGCCAUCUGGCCUAAUACUGACGCUGAGGUACGAAAGCAUGGGGAGCAAACAGGAUUAGAUACCCUGGUAGUCCAUGCCGUAAACGAUGUCUACUAGCCGUUGGGGCCUUUGAGGCUUUAGUGGCGCAGCUAACGCGAUAAGUAGACCGCCUGGGGAGUACGGUCGCAAGACUAAAACUCAAAUGAAUUGACGGGGGCCCGCACAAGCGGUGGAGCAUGUGGUUUAAUUCGAUGCAACGCGAAGAACCUUACCUGGUCUUGACAUAGUAAGAACUUUCCAGAGAUGGAUUGGUGCCUUCGGGAACUUACAUACAGGUGCUGCAUGGCUGUCGUCAGCUCGUGUCGUGAGAUGUUGGGUUAAGUCCCGCAACGARCGCAACCCUUUUCCUUAUUUGCCRCACUUCGG
rnacentral:rRNA from 1 species